rnacentral:rRNA from 1 species
CAGGGAAUAUUGCGCAAUGGGCGAAAGCCUGACGCAGCGACGCCGCGUGGGGGAUGAAGGCCCUCGGGUUGUAAACCCCUUUCAGCAGGGACGAAAACAGACGGUACCUGCAGAAGAAGCCCCGGCCAACUACGUGCCAGCAGCCGCGGUAACACGUAGGGGGCAAGCGUUGUCCGGAUUUAUUGGGCGUAAAGAGCUCGUAGGCGGCUCGGUAAGUCAGGUGUGAAACCUCCAGGCUCAACCUGGAGACGCCACUUGAUACUGCUGUGGCUAGAGUCCGGUAGGGGAACGUGGAAUUCCCAGUGUAGCGGUGAAAUGCGCAGAUAUUGGGAGGAACACCAGCGGCGAAGGCGGCGCUCUGGGCCGGAACUGACGCUGAGGAGCGAAAGCGUGGGGAGCGAACAG